rnacentral:rRNA from 1 species
UACGGGGGGGGCAAGCGUUGUUCGGAAUUACUGGGCGUAAAGGGCUCGUAGGCGGCCAACUAAGUCAGACGUGAAAUCCCCAGGCUUAACCUGGGAACUGCGUCUGAUACUGGAUGGCUUGAAUUCGGGAGAGGGAUGCAGAAUUCCAGGUGUAGCGGUGAAAUGCGUAGAUAUCUGGAGGAACACCGGUGGCGAAGGCGGCAUCCUGGACCGAGAUUGACGCUGAGGCGCGAAAGCCAGGGGAGCAAACGGG